rnacentral:misc_RNA from 1 species
AACGCACAUUGCGCCCCCUGGUAUUCCGGGGGGCAUGCCUGUCCGAGCGUCAUUGCUGCCCUCAAGCACGGCUUGUGUGUUGGGCCCUCGUCCCCCGGGACGGGCCCGAAAGGCAGCGGCGGCACCGCGUCCGGUCCUCGAGCGUAUGGGGCUUCGUCACCCGCUCUGCAGGCCCGGCCGGCGCCUGCCGACACCAUCAAUCUUCUUUCCAGGUUGACCUCGGAUCAGGUAGGGAUACCCGCUGAACUUAA